UGGUGGGUAGUUUGACUGGGGCGGUCUCCUCCUAAAGAGUAACGGAGGAGCACGAAGGUUAGCUAAUCCUGGUCGGACAUCAGGAGGUUAGUGCAAAGGCAUAAGCUAGCUUGACUGCGAGAGUGACGGCUCGAGCAGGUGCGAAAGCAGGUCUUAGUGAUCCGGUGGUUCUGAAUGGAAGGGCCAUCGCUCAACGGAUAAAAGGUACUCCGGGGAUAACAGGCUGAUACCGCCCAAGAGUUCAUAUCGACGGCGGUGUUUGGCACCUCGAUGUCGGCUCAUCACAUCCUGGGGCUGAAGUAGGUCCCAAGGGUAUGGCUGUUCGCCAUUUAAAGUGGUACGCGAGCUGGGUUUAGAACGUCGUGAGACAGUUCGGUCCCUAUCUGCCGUGGGCGCUGGAGAAUUGAGGGGGGCUGCUCCUAGUACGAGAGGACCGGAGUGGACGCAUCACUGGUGUUCGGGUUGUCAUGCCAAUGGCAUUGCCCGGUAGCUAAAUGCGGAAGAGAUAAGUGCUGAAAGCAUCUAAGCACGAAACUUGCCCCGAGAUGAGUUCUCCCUGACCCUUUAAGGG
rnacentral:rRNA from 1 species